rnacentral:rRNA from 1 species
GAACGCUGGCGGCGUGCUUCAUACAUGCAAGUCGAACGAUAAGGUCUCUUCGGAGAUACAUAAGUGGCGGACGGGUGAGUAAUGUGUAGAGAAUCUGCCCUAGAGUGGGGGACAACAGUUGGAAACGGCUGCUAAUACCCCAUAUGAGCGUACCUGUGAUGGUAUUCUUGAAAGAUUUAUUGCUCUGGGAUGAGUCUGCAUCUGAUUAGCUAGUUGGGGGUGUAAUGGACCACCAAGGCGACGAUCAGUAGCUGGUUUGAGAGGAUGAUCAGCCACAAUGGGACUGAGACACGGCCCAUACUCCUACGGGAGGCAGCAGUAGGGAAUUUUGCGCAAUGGGGGAAACCCUGACGCAAGCAACGCCGCGUGAUUGAAUAAGCCCUUCGGGGUGUAAAGAUCUGUCAGUGGGGACGAAACUUGACGGUACCCACAGAGGAAGCAUCGGCUAACUCCGUGCCAGCAGCCGC